rnacentral:rRNA from 1 species
GAUGAACGCUGGCGGCGUGCCUAAUACAUGCAAGUCGAGCGAACGGACGAGAAGCUUGCUUCUCUGAUGUUAGCGGCGGACGGGUGAGUAACACGUGGAUAACCUACCUAUAAGACUGGGAUAACUUCGGGAAACCGGAGCUAAUACCGGAUAAUAUUUUGAACCGCAUGGUUCAAAAGUGAAAGACGGUCUUGCUGUCACUUAUAGAUGGAUCCGCGCUGCAUUAGCUAGUUGGUAAGGUAACGGCUUACCAAGGCAACGAUGCAUAGCCGACCUGAGAGGGUGAUCCGCCACACUGGAAGUGAGACACGGUCCAGACUCCUACGGGAGGCAGCAGUAGGGAAUCUUCCGCAAUGGGCGAAAGCCUGACGGAGCAACGCCGCGUGAGUGAUGAAGGUCUUCGGAUCGUAAAACUCUGUUAUUAGGGAAGAACAUAUGUGUAAGUAACUGUGCACAUCUUGACGGUACCUAAUCAGAAAGCCACGGCUAACUACGUG